AAUAGUAUCUCCCUGUUCAUUUAAUUGGCAUUUCUUGAUAAUUCCUGAGCUAGAGCAUCUUUUCAGAUAUUUAUUGGCCAUUUGUAUAUCCAUAUUUGUAAGUUCAAACCUCUUACGUAGUUGUCUUUUGUGUUGAUUGCUUUAUAUACUUUGGAUAAGAGUUCUUUAUCCAUAAACGAUGUCAAAUAUUUCCUUUCUGUCUGAGGUUUACCUUUUCACUCUUUUAAUGGGUCUCUGGAUUAAUAAAGGUUCUUAAUGUAUAUACAGAGCUAAUAUCAAUUUUUUUCUUUUUUGGCUAGUGCUAACUUCUUGAUAGAGUUAUUUAACUUCUGGAUUUUGGUCUUUAUUUUUCUUUCUUCCAAUGUAUGCAUUCAAGGCUAUAAAUGAGCCUUUAAGCAUACCUUUAAUUGGAUUUUGUAAGUUUUCAUGUGGAUUAUUUUCCAUGUCAUUCACUUUAUACUAGAUUUUAAUUUACAAUGAUGUUUUAUUUUUUCUUUGACACUUGUGUUAGUUGGAAGUAUAUUGUUUAAUUUCCAAACAUAUGAAUAUUUUUCUAGUCAUCCUUUCAUUGUUGAUUUCUGAUUUAUUUCAUUGUGGUCAGAGACCAUACUCUGUGUGAAUUCAAUACUUUGAAAGUUGGUGGGACUCUGAGAAGGAUAAAAUUUUGGAAAUGUUCCACGUGGGCUUAUAAGACAACACAAGCAACAUCUCAUUUAAGUUUUAUAGAAAAACUAAGAAAUUAGCACUACCAUUAUUCACAUUUACAGAUGAAGAAAUUAAAUGAGGUCAUACUUGUUAAAACAUUUGAAAAUAGAAACAGAUUUUUAAGUAAAUUAUCAUUAUCGCUUCAGAUUGUGUGAUUUCUUAUUCUUCUCUCGUUACUGACUCCGGGUGUUAAGUGAGUUAAGGAAAACUUUGCAGUUUGAAUGACUGUGGAAGCCUAGGUCUUUGCUGCCCAACUCGAUAGCCAUGGACCACAUAUGGCUGUUGAACACUUGAAAUGUGGCUAAUCCAAGUUGAGGUGUGCUGUAAAUAUAAAAUACACACCAGAUUUGGAAGACUUAGUAUGAGAAAAAAAGAAUUAAAACGUCUCGUUAAUUAUUUUUAUGUUAAUUACAUGGAAUAAUAAGCUUUGGGAUGUAUUGGGUUAAACAUAUUGUUAAAGUUAAUUUCACCUGUUUCUUUUUACUUUAUUAAUGCAGCUACCAGAAAAUUUGAAAUUCCCUCUGUGGCCAGCAUUCGUUGUUUGCAGGGUCCCUGAGAAGAUCUGGCCUGAGUGUUUCCUCUCACAAGGAAGUGUGGAAAUGGAGAGUGAUGGGCUGUGCACCCCUGAAGAUGUCACCAGGACAGCAUGUUCUCUGUUCUCCUCUCCCAUCUUCCUUAUCUUUGAGCUUCCCUUUGGGUUCAGGAUGGCUGCUGCACCUCCAGGCAUUACAUCAGCAUUCCAGCAAGAAGAAAAAAGGGGACGAAGCAUUGUCUUCAUCAGACUCUGUUCUUUUCUCAGGAAGAGAUGCCCUUCCCGGGUCGUCUGCUUACAGCUCAUUGUCCUGAAAUGAGGCCCAUGGUCUCCAUGAGCCAAAAAGGGGACUGGAGGCUGACCCCGCCAUCUGAGCACUCCACAUCCCUCUAUAAGGAGAGGGUGGAGGACCAGUGGGAGCUAGUUGUAUGCCAUACCGUUCUUCUUAGAGGAAAGAGCAUACCAUCUUGAGUUGGAAGUGUUUAAUGUAACUGUUCCAAAAUUCUGGAAAAGAAAUGAAGUAACAAAGCAUUUUUUCUAAAUUUUUGAAAAACUUUCAGAGUUUUUAUUGAAAGACUCACCAUAUAGUUUCACUAAAAUAUGCUAUUUUUUAAGCACUUGUUCAUGAGUUUUUCCCUAAGCUUGACAUUCAGCUCUAACCGUGUUGUCUUAUGGGAGCCUGUAGCAGCGAGUCUGUUCUAGUCUCCUGGUCGUCUUGUUCCUGAUCUCGUGAGGGGAAGGCGACCAGGGUUCUUAGAACAGAAGAGGCCUUUUCUCAGUCCCUCAGUUCCACUGCUGGGUCCAUUGUUACUGGCCCAGGUGACAUAUUUACAUACCCGACUGCUUCUUCAGCCUUCACUCUCCCAAAGGAAUCCUCCAGAAUCAGGGCCUUCCUUCCCUCUUCUUGCAGACUGCAACCACAGUCACAUGUUAUUUCCUUUUGUUUUCCACAAAUCCAGGCACUGCAUCGUUGAUGGCAAGUGUCCUCGAUGAAGUGGAGACUGCCAUGCAUGGCGAAAAUUGGCAGGGGUGGUUUUCAUGGAGACACAGCAAAGCGAAGUUGCCGCCCCUCAGAGCUGGACGCAUUAGACAAUAUUGCUGCAAUCGCCUUCCUUCUCUGCGCCUCUGGCUUUCCACAGCUGCACUUUCUUCUUUGCAAUCCUUGAGACGCAUGCAAGGAAGGUCCUGACCAGCAAAUGGGGUGACAAGCGCAAGAGAAAGAACAAGACUAGCGCAACCAAGUCCCUGCUUUUGAUUGCCUGCUGGCAUGAAAAAUUACAAAAUUCUUCACACUUUUGGUUAAGGAAUCAUUACCCACACAUUCACAUGUGAAUUUAUCCUGACCAAAUUAGUUUAAGCGGGAAGUUUAGUUUAUCUGAGAGGAUAAGUACCUUUGUCUCUUGGGGGUUAGAGGAGAGCCCUACAAUGGAUUACCCUCUUUCUCUCUCUCUCACACACACACACGUCACAUGCACAUAUGCACACUCUCACAUGCACACGUACCAUGUACACACAACACACAUCUAUGCACACACACAGUACAUACUCUCUCUCACACACACACACUCCCAGACACACUCUUACACACGUGCAUGCACAUGUACACAAUGAACACACCAUGCAUACACACAUGUACGUACAAACACACAUACGCUCUUUCACAUACACAUACAUGCACAUAGAUACACAUACAGACACACACCACACACGCAUAUGCAUAUAUGCACACUCUCGGUCUCACACACACAUACACAUACGCACACAGUUACAGGCACACACCAUGAUUAAAAGACUGGUGCAUAAUCUGGAGGUCACCUAAAAUUUUUGAAGCCCUUGCAUCUGCACUGAAAUUGCAGUCCACAUAUCCAGGCAUGCAGCAAAUAUCAAUGCUCUUAUUACCUAAAAUGCCACUUCAUUUCUAAUUCUGAGCUCCAAUCCCACUAAGGCUGUGGCAAAUCCAACAUCAACUAUUCUUGAGAUCCACACCCUUGGGUGUGUGCCUCAGUUUAGGAGUCUUGCACUGUGCCGAUAGGUUAUUUAACACAUAUUUACAUGGCCCGCACAUGUGUCAGCACUGUUCCAAGUGCUUUGUGAAUAUUAAUUUAUUGAAUCCUCUUGAUAAACUUAGCAAGAAGUACUGUUUUGUGAGUGAGGACCCUUGGGAACAGAGCUGCUGAGUGACUUGCCCGAGGCUGCACAGCAUUAUGUGGUGAGGUGGAAUCUGAACCCCUCAGCUGGCUCCGUGCUGUCUUCUCAACCAGACCUCUCCAGGCUUGAUGGUCUCCCUGCUGAGUUGGCCUGCUGGGUUACAAUGACUGCCAGGUUGGGACCCGUGAGUGUUUGAGAAGGUGCCUGUUGCCCUCAUUUUCCUAAACACACCUCGUAUCCCUGCUUUCUGUUCCUUCAUUUCAUGCCAAGAAGCAAGAACUGAUUCUGUCUCAUUUCAGAGUCUUAGACUUCCCCUCCCCCAUGCAGGGGACCCAUCCCCAUUUCUCCUGGGCACACUAUGAACAGGGGUCCUUUCUCUAUCCCAUGCAUUUCCAAGACACUGUUUUUGAAGACAUACUAAUUGUCAAAUUCCAUUCUCCCUUCCUUUUAAUCUCUUCCAAACUCUUCUGAGUUCUUCUAAAGGCUCACACUUUGGGAAGACACAUCCUUGCAGAGCUCAGAGGCCAAUUCUGUGUGAAGGGGAGAAGAGAGGAGGACACUGGAGAGAAAAAAAAUCCCUUGUAUGUGAACAUUUCAAAACAUCCAGCCACAAACAGAUGAUCUCGUUUAGAAUGCUUUUUCAUUAAAUUAUUCUGUUUCUUUUCUUCUUUUUGUUGGCCAAAAUCCUAGAUGUUUACCGUGGGUGGUUGAGAAGGGCUCGUGGAUACUGCCAAGAUCGGAAACAGCAAAGCGUCCCAAACCAAACUUUUGACCACUAAGCCCUUUCUUGCUUAAAGAGCCAGUGGAAAAGCCUUAUAAAGGAAUGGAACAUCAUAGCACAGCACACUGUCCAUAUCUCUUGCCUGAAAUAUAUAUUUCAAAGUGAUUGCUUUCCCCUAAAGCGGUCCUCACUAAGUGCCAAGGAGAGCGUGCAAUCUUGAACAGCGCGGUGAUGGAAUGAAAGCUGCAGUCGCGGGUGGAAGUUCUCCGGCAGGAGGUAAGGAUUCUGCAAGUCCAAUGCUGAAAUUUCCCUUACUCCACAAGAGAGGAACUCAACGGCUUUGUGACAAUGAUAGCUUGGCAGCUGGCCUUUGACACACCGUAGCCCAGUGACGGAAAUGCCCUUUUACCCAAGGUCUGGGUGUCCAUGAUGCCUGAGGGAAAAGCAUAGAGCAGCCUGGAGAAGGGAAACAGAAUUGUCAGUCAAACUUGCUGCCUUCUCUGUCCAAGGGUUUCUGCUGCGGUGAUCUUUGUGGGAUUCUCGCCAGCCGGGGCAUCUGGGCCACUCUGGUAGGUUUGUGUUCUCCAUUCCCCAGAAGUAAAGAGCAGUGUUUUAAUUUAGUGUCUGAAUGAUGGAAAGGCUUCUCCCAUAGAAGUCAUAAUACUCGUAGGGUAUUAAGUAAAUUAAAGUAGAUAUUAAAAAGGGAUCUAUAAAAAGGAAUUUAAAAAGAGAAAUUUGAAAUUUUUCAAGAUGCUGUUUAGUACAGAUUCAGUGUUUAAAUAAACCAAAAGUAUGACUUUCUAAUUUAUUUAAACAAUUUAAAAUGUAUCUAUACACACAUACCUUAAUUUUAUAUAUAUAUGAAUAUAUAAAUAUAUACAAAUUUCUUCCUCAAUAAGUAAUAUUAUCUUUCCCCAAUGAGUAAUGUACAAUCAGUAAAAGGUACAGCAUUUUCCCAAUUAGCAGACAUUUGGUCCUGUCCAAAACAUCCAGAAGACAUUUGGUCCAAGCCAAAAGGUCCUUGAUAUUUGGUCCUGUC